rnacentral:tRNA from 1 species
GGGUCUAUAGCUUAACUUGGAUAGAGCCUUCGGCUUCGGACCGAAUGAUCAGGGUUCAAAUCCCUGUAGGCCCA